rnacentral:rRNA from 1 species
UACAGAGACUGCAAGCGUUAUUCGGAUUCACUGGGCGUAAAGGGUGCGCAGGCGGCCGAGUGUGUGAGGCGUGAAAGCCCGGGGCUUAACCCCGGAAUUGCACCUCAAACUACACGGCUAGAGCAUUGGAGAGGGUAGCAGAAUUCAUGGUGUAGCAGUGAAAUGCGUAGAUAUCAUGAGGAAUACCAGAGGCGAAGGCGGCUACCUGGACAAUUGCUGACGCUCAGGCACGAAGCGUGGGGAGCAAAAGG